UGCAUCUCACUACUUCUAAGGUGCAAUGGGACAAGCCUCACAUCUGAAGCACGCGCCGCACUGUGCGCUUUCCCAAACGUUUGCUAUACCUUCCUCAACUUUUCAUGUCGUAUCAUGACAGGCUUACCGUAAAAAAAGCUCGUCUUAAAUCCAGUGACUCUGAGGCAGAGGAGGAGGUGGACAGACGCGGUUGAAGGGACACAAGGACACCAACACAGCUGAACAAACGACUCCUGCUCUCCUGGGCUGCAAUAGGAGCUCGGCCCGGUGAGCUGUGAGCUGUGAGCUGCCUCUCCUACUAGCGCACAGGCAGGGAAGGCAAGCCGCUUCGUACGGCAACGACGAGCAGCCUCCCCCUCCUCCCCCCAUUGCUCUCCAGCAGCCCGCACUUGCCAAGAUCAGUCCCGCUUAAUGAUUUUGAGAGAGCCACAGCACCCCCGACCAGAAGAGCUGAGGGAGAGCGCUGUGUUUUUGUGUCGCGGCGCCCGAGAGAGGAGGAAGGAGGCAGCCGGCGAGCGAUUGCCCUUGAAACUGCACCAAAACUCUUGGAAGAAGCCAGGAACCGGUGUAAGUAACGUGCACUUGUACGGCUUUGACAGCGGGGUGUAGAGCGACCUGCUGCCUGGCGCUGACCUGCCAAGCGGAAAAAAAGGUGUUGAUGUCCAGUGUUUCCCGAAAUCGUCUGAUUAUGUUUAUAUGCUUCAUGCUUUUGACAGGGGAUUAUUCCAAAUGCAAAGUGCCGUAUGUUUCAGUGUAGCAUGCCAAACUUUGUUUACCUCUUCUGUGUGCCUGCUACUGUGUGGUACGUAGCAGUCUGUGUGUGUGAAGUGUGUUGUAACCUUGGCAAUCUUCUUGUAGUUUGUAAUACAUGUCAUUUGUAUUUGGUAUUUCUUGUUAAGAAAUUCUUUUAAUGAUUGUAUUUAGAAAUAUUAUUUUUUGGUGUCAUGUAGAUUGCAAUAAUGUAAUCUUCCUUAAUGGCUACACAGCAGUAUCAGUAAGGUUAUAGCCUGGAAGAGCAAUACUCUGUUCUGUGACAUGCAAUUAAUAUUCUCUACUUCUGCAUUUCAAAAGCCCUGGAAUCCUUCUUUCUGACAUGUCUAGCAGUGUCCCAUAUGUCAACUCCCCUUAGAAAAACAUAAUUUAUAAUGCAAUAUCAAUGUAUCUUUGCUUUGAUGUUGUAUAGUCAUAGAUGCAAAUAUUCGCCAAAAUUUUAUUGCAGAAAUGUGUACGUGUUAAUCUAACCAAAUCUAUGUAUAUGUUAAUCUAACUAAAAUUAUUUAGAGCAAAAAACUCUGUGAUAUGUAAUGGGGAUUUUUCUGAGCAAUUGAGGUCACAUGUUC